rnacentral:rRNA from 1 species
GACGAACGCUGGCGGUAUGCUUAACACAUGCAAGUCGAACGAGACAAGAUGGAAGUGCUUGCACUGAAAUCUUAGAAAGUGGCGAACGGGUGAGUAACGCGUGGGUAACCUGCCCUAUGGAAAGGAAUAGCCUCGGGAAACUGGGAGUAAUGCCUUAUAAUAUAGUGAAGUCGCAUGGCUUUACUAUUAAACGCUCCGGUGCCAUAGGAUGGACCCGCGUCCCAUUAGCUAGUUGGUGAGAUAACAGCCCACCAAGGCGACGAUGGGUAACCGGUCUGAGAGGGCGAACGGUCACACUGGAACUGAGACACGGUCCAGACUCCUACGGGAGGCUG